rnacentral:rRNA from 1 species
CUACGGGAUGCAGCAGUCGAGAAUCAUUCGCAAUGGACGAAAGUCUGACGAUGCGACGCCGCGUGAGGGAUGACGGCCUUCGGGUUGUAAACCUCUGUCACAAGGAAAGAAACGUGUAAGGACCAAUACCCCUUACAUUUGACGGUACCUUGAGAGGAAGCUCCGGCUAACUCCGUGCCAGCAGCCGCGGUAAUACGGAGGGAGCAAGCGUUGUUCGGAUUUACUGGGCGUAAAGGGCGUCUAGGUGGCUGUAUAAGUUGGAGGUGAAAUCCCUUGGCUCAACCGGGGAAUUGCCUUCAAAACUGUAUGGCUUGAGUGUAGGAGAGGAAAGCGGAAUUCCUGGUGUAGCGGUGAAAUGCGUAGAGAUCAGGAGGAACACUGAUGGCGAAGGCAGCUUUCUGGUCUAACACUGACACUAAAGCGCGAAGGCUAGGGGAGCGAACGGGAUUAGAUACCCCAGUAGUC